GACGAACGCUGGCGGCGUGCUUAACACAUGCAAGUCGAACGGAAAGGCCCUGCUUUUGUGGGGUGCUCGAGUGGCGAACGGGUGAGUAACACGUGAGUAACCUGCCCUUGACUUUGGGAUAACUUCAGGAAACUGGGGCUAAUACCGGAUAGGAGCUCCUGCUGCAUGGUGGGGGUUGGAAAGUUUCGGCGGUUGGGGAUGGACUCGCGGCUUAUCAGCUUGUUGGUGGGGUAGUGGCUUACCAAGGCUUUGACGGGUAGCCGGCCUGAGAGGGUGACCGGCCAAAUGGGGACUGAGAUACGGCCCAGACCCCUACGGGAGGCAGCGGUGGGGAAUAUUGAACAAGGGGCGGAAGCCUGAUGCAGCAACGCCGCGUGCGGGAUGACGGCCUUCGGGUUGUAAACCGCUUUCGCCUGUGACGAAGCGUGAGUGACGGUAAUGGGUAAAGAAGCACCGGCUAACUACGU
rnacentral:rRNA from 1 species